rnacentral:rRNA from 1 species
GUCAGCUCGUGUCGUGAGAUGUUGGGUUAAGUCCCGCAACGAGCGUAACCCUUAAGCUUAGUUGCCAGCAUUAAGUUGGGUACUCUAAGUUGACUGCCGGUGACAAACCGGAGGAAGGUGGGGAUGACGUCAAAUCAUCAUGCCCCUUAUGAUUUGGGCUACACACGUGCUACAAUGGACAAUACAAAGGGCAGCUAAACCGCGAGGUCAUGCAAAUCCCAUAAAGUUGUUCUCAGUUCGGAUUGUAGUCUGCAACUCGACUACAUGAAGCUGGAAUCGCUAGUAAUCGUAGAUCAGCAUGCUACGGUGAAUACGUUCCCGGGUCUUGUACACACCGCCCGUCACACCACGAGAGUUUGUAACACCCGAAGCCGGUGGAGUAACCAUUUAUGGAGCUAGCCGUCGAAGGUGGGACAAAUGAUUGGGGUGAAGUCGUAACAAGGUAGCCGUAUCGGAAGGUGCGGUUGGAUCACCUC